rnacentral:rRNA from 1 species
CCUACGGGAGGCAGCAGUGAGGAAUAUUGGUCAAUGGACGCAAGUCUGAACCAGCCAUGCCGCGUGCAGGAUGAAGGCUCUAUGAGUUGUAAACUGCUUUUGUACGAGGGUAAACCCCGAUACGUGUAUCGGGUUGAAAGUAUCGUUCGAUUAAGGCUCGGCUAACUCUGUGCCAGCAGCCGCGGUAAUACGGAGGGUCCGAGCGUUAUGCGGAUUUAUUGGGUUUAAAGGGUGCGUAGUCGGUUGGAUAAGUUAGAAGUGAAAUGUCGGGGCUCAACCCCGGAACUGCCUUGGAAACUGUGGGACUAGAGAGUAGUAGCGGUAGGCGGAAUGUAUGGUGUAGCGGUGAAAUGCUUAGAGAUCAUGCAGAACACCGAUUGCGAAGGCAGCUUAUCAAACUAUAUCUGACGUUGAGGCACGAAAGCGUGGGUAGCAAACAGGAUUAGAUACCCCAGUAGUC